GUUGAACGCUGGCGGCGUGCCUAACACAUGCAAGUCGAGCGAACAGAUGAGGAGUUUGCUUCUCUGACGUUACCGGCGGACGGGUGAGGAAUACGUGGAUAACUUACCUAUAAGACUGGGAUAACUUCGGGAGACCGGAUCUAACAUCGGAUAAUAUAUUGAACCGCAUGGUUCAUUAGUGAAAGCGGUUUUUGCUGUCACUUAUAGAUGUUUCCGGGCCGCAUUAGCUAGUUGGUAAGGUAACGGCUUACCAAGGCAACGAUGCGUAGCCGACCUGAGAGGGUGAUCGGCCACACUGGAACUGAGACACGGUCCAGACUCCUACGGGAGGCAGCAGUAGGGAAUAUUCGACAAUGGGCGAAAGCCUGACGGAGCAACGCCGCGUGAGUGAAGAAGGUCUUCGGAUCGUAAAACUCUGUUAUUAGGGAGGAACAAAAGUGUAAGUAACUAUGGACGUCUUGACGGUACCUAAACAGAAAGCCACGGCUAACUACGUG
rnacentral:rRNA from 1 species